ACUUAAAAUCGUAGAAGAAAAGCCAACAACCAAAAUGUAUGAGCAUGAUAUGUUUGGAAUGUCGGGCAUUUGAUUGAUUUGUGUCACCAAUAAGCGAAAAACUCAGUCCAAAAAUCACCAAAAACAACAACGGCAACACCAACGACAAGCAGCAACCACCAGCGGAUGCCGAGAGACUGUACGCGGCGCCUCAAGGCCGGCUAACGCUUAACCCCCCCACCACACGCCCCAAGAGGCCCACGCCUCAGCCUAACCCCGACAGCUGCAACCAUGUGAAUGGCCAGAAUGCAAUUAAAACUACUAAACAACUACCACUACCAGCCAGACCAGAGCCCAGUCCACGACUAGAGAGCACAGCGAGAGCAUCUCCUCAGCAGCAGCAGCAGCAGCAGCAGCAGCAGCAGCAGCAGCAGCAGAGCAGCAGGGAGCCAGCCAGAUCCAGCCCGAGGGAGAGCCAGCGUCAUCAUGGCUGGGCCACAGAUACAGCACACCCAACGCCCCAACAGCGCCUACUACACGGGUCUGAAUGGUAGCGGGGGAAGCGGGGGUGGCGGGGGUGGUGGUGCAGCCAGCGCCUCGGGCAUGGCAAGCAGCGCCUCGCACACUGGACUGCACGCCCUGCGCCAGGUGACCAACGAAACGGAGCUCAUCUAUCGAGGAAGCCACAGCAAUGGCACCGUCAACGAGCUGCCCUCCACAGCCGCACAUCAUCAGAUGCUCGCGGGUCGCAUCACCCAGCAGCAGCUGCAGCAGCAGCAGCAGCACCCACAGCAUCAUCCGCAUCAUCAGCAGCAGCAUCACCCACAGCAUCAGCAACAGCAGCAAGUCAGCAGCAUAGCCGGCACCGGAUCGAGUGCCACGGAUGCGCUUAUUGGCACCAUUGCGACAAGUGCCGGUGGAGCAACAGGUGGCGGUGGCGGUGGCGGUGGCAGCAGCAGCAGCAACACGGCGAUAACCGCGCUCGGGCAGCUGAAGAAGUCCAGCACACAGCGCAGCAUUGAGAUAAUUGUGGAUGCAAGCCAGUGUGGCAAGGAGGUGGGCGCAGCAGCGACGCCGCUGGAUCCCGACGAUGUGGAGCAGGGUGGCGGCGGCCAGGAGUCCUCCUCCUCGAUGCGCAAGUCCUCGCGACAUCGCCAUCGGCCGCUCCAUCGACGCCUCAUCAGCUAUCUGCGCAACCUCUUCCAAGGCAGCACAACGCAAACUGCGAUGGCAACUCUUGUGCUGGCCUGGCGCUGCCUCUCCAAGCAUUCGGAGCUGGAGGAAUUCGAGACGCCAGCACGCUACAGACCGGACUCGCUGAGCGCUUUGAGUCGGGCGACCCGCUUCACCGAGGACGAGAUCAAACGAAUUUAUCGCGGCUUUAAGGCUGAGUGCCCCACGGGUGUCGUCAAGGAGGACACCUUCAAAGUGAUCUACUCGCAGUUUUUUCCACAGGGAGCCAACCCAACCUUAUACGCACAUUAUGUAUUUAAUACACUGGACCAGGAUCGCAGCGGUAUUGUCAGCUUUGAGGACUUUGUUCAAGGACUCUCGAUACUGUCGCGCGGCUCGGUGGAGGAGAAGCUUCGCUGGACCUUCUCGCUGUACGACAUCAAUGGCGACGGCUUCAUUACGAGGGAGGAAAUGACUGACAUUGUGACUGCCAUAUACGAGCUGAUGGGCCGCCUGCCCGACGAGUGUCCCGAGGAGGAGAAGAUCAAGGGCAAGGUGGAGCAAAUCUUUCAGAAAAUGGAUAUCAACCGUGAUGGUGUUGUGACGCUUGAGGAGUUCCUCGAGGCCUGUCGCAAUGAUGACGCCAUUUCCAGAUCCAUGUCCGUAUUUGAUACAUCAUUCUGACCAUAUCCGACGGACAAGGGCGAUGAGUAUACGGUGCGAAGGCCGCGACGCAGUCGCAGUCGCAGUCGCAGCCAGCAGCAGCAGAGGCAGCAGCAGCGACAGGGGCCGGAGAAACAAAUUUGCAUAAAAACCAAAUGAUAUGCGCAACGAGAAAAUGCAACGCGACUCUAACAAAUAGAAAGGCAGAAAACUAUCAAAAAGAAAACUAAAACACACAGUAGCCAUGCUCCCAAUGUCCAUAAAUAUGCAAUUAUGGUCUGGAGUGUGGAUGUGUUUAUGCAGCAGCAGCAACCAAAGCUGCAGCAGCGCCAGCCCAGCCAGAACACAGCAACAGCAACAACUCCACUGUCACCUCCCCUGUUCCAUACAUCAUCAAACACUCAAUGAACGAAACCAAACACGCACUGCUUGCAAGCAGUUCUUUCGCUGCUCGACCAUCGGUGGCCACAGGCACAAGCAGUUUCGUUCUCAUUUUUGAAGAAUGGCAAUGCAAAUGCUUUAAGCCCAUGUUCGGCAUGUAAGUACUCCCCUGCCCCCAGCCCAUUCCCAGAAAUGACCCAUUGAAAAUUGAUAUAUGUAAAUGUCUAUGGCAUACCAAACGAAAGCUUUAUACAAUGAAAACUAAAACUAAAACCAUACUCUUAAUGAUUAAAACAGAAAGAUGAAAGUAUAUUGAGAAAAUUGAUUGAAGGAUAAACUAUAUUUAUACGGAGGAGAAAACGAAAAACAAAUAACAAAAAACUGCAACUAACAAAGAGAAAUAUAUACGAUACGAGUAGAUACAUAAAUGAAUUUCGACAUAAUUUAAACGUAAUUGGAACCAUUUUGACUUUCUACUUAAAAUACAAUAACACAAAUGAAAUCCAUUGCAUGUGUAGAUAAAUAAAUGUGAACUUUGUGCUGUCUAAAUCAAAAUAAUGGUAGAGAAACCCCCAUGGAGGCGGAGGACACAGUAGUUCCCCCGGGCAUAUUGUUGAAUUUAUUCCGAUUGGUUGUUGUCUUUCCAUUACCAAAUUAGAGGGAUCGGAGUGGGGGCUGGCGAUGAUGAAUGAAUGAAUAAUGUCUUCUAGCCUGCCAGUACGCACAUGUGUGGGUGUACAUAUCCCACUCAGUGUAACGAAACGUGAGUGCGUCAGAGAGAGUAUUGGAAGCUGAAAGAAAAUCAAAUAAAAACAAAUCUUUGAAUCAGAAAUUGGACCAUAACAGCGUUGCAGCAAUGCAGCAGUGCAUAAGGCAAACAGCAGCUGAAACUAAAACAAAAACAAAAGCAAAAACAAAAAGGAGUAGCAUUAACCGAUGUCCAUGUACAUAUGUAUGUAAAUAUCUACAUAUAAAUGUACAUGUUUACAUCCAUGUACAUGUGUAGUGUGGACAUGUAAUACGAACAAGUAUUUAUCCAGUGAAUUGGUGUGUAAGUGUAAUUUUUUGUAGCUAGAUAUAAUGAACGAAAGACACAGCACACACAAGAGCAACAACCGGCACGAGCUGAAGAAGAAAACUACUAGAAAUAGAAGAGGAAAAGUAUUUAAAUUAAAUUCGAACUGUACAUAGUAUACAAUAUAGUGUGGAUAUGGAUAUGGAAGUGUAAGUGGAAAAUGGUUUUCGUUUGCUUGCAGCUCGCAGUUAAACCUACUAAAGAAUCCUUCUCUAUAUUAACUCUAACUCAAAGUAAUUGUUGCAUUUUGAAACCCCCUAUAUUUACAAUACAUCUAGCUGUGUACUUAGCUGUAGUCUUCCAGGAGUAAACGCAACAGCAAACUUAAACUGAAACAGAAACUGAUACAGAAACCGGAACACACACCGAUGAAACUCUAUUCCACGUAGAUGAUGAGAUGAGAAACCUGUAGCAAAAUUGUACCUUAGCUGAAACACCUCGAAAGCUUUCCAAACUAAAACUAAAACUAACACUAAACCCACAACUACGUUUACUUGAAAACCUUAGCGAAAUGAAAAAACCAACCGGAAUACAAAUUGUAAAACAAUAGCGAAAAGCUCUUUAACAAUAAACGUUGCUGUCAAAAUCAAAGAGUUCAAUAUCAUAAUGGGAUCUACAUACAUACUAUGUAUGUAC